UACGAAGGGGGCUAGCGUUGCUCGGAAUCACUGGGCGUAAAGGGUGCGUAGGCGGGUUUUAAGUCAGAGGUGAAAUCCUGGAGCUCAACUCCAGAACUGCCUUUGAUACUGAAAGUCUUGAGUAUGGGAGAGGUGAGUGGAACUGCGAGUGUAGAGGUGAAAUUCGUAGAUAUUCGCAAGAACACCAGUGGCGAAGGCGGCUCACUGGCCCAU
rnacentral:rRNA from 1 species